rnacentral:lncRNA from 1 species
CGGUGAGGGGUGACUCCCACGAUCCCUAGCGGCUGCAGAGUGGAAAAUGGCGGCCUCCUUGCUGCUUGCGUUACCAGAGUCCACCCGGCCUCGUGCUUUCUCCGGGCGCCCGUAGCUGGCGCCGGCAUCCACAAAAAUAGAUCAGAGUGGAUGUGCGUUGAAAGCAGUCUAGGAGGACAUACACUAAAAUGCUGAGUAUCUCUGGAUGGCGGCGGCGUUGAGGAUAGAGGAUGAAUAAAGAGGAAGCUCCAGGCUGUGAAGUGUCUAAUCCUUGCUCCCCUCAGAAGUUGGGACAUGUUGGACCAAGGUGGUAAGGAUAGUGAGAGGCCAAAGAUUUAACAAUACACUGUGAUGCUGGGGCUGGGAGGAGAUUGCACCUUUAUAGCCUGGUGGUGGCAGUCCAGAGUGCAACCCCUAGAGAUGGCAACUUGACAAGACCUCUCAAAAAACACUACACACAGCUUUUGCGCCCCUCAUCCCACUUCUGAGAGUAAGUCCUAUGGCAACAUGUGCACACAUGGAAAAUAAAGUCUGUACAAGUUUCCCAGAAGCUGGACAAGCCACGACGGCGCCUUCCAAUAAAAGGGGAACUCCAGAGACGCUAUGAGAAAAGAGGAACAGACAUCUGCAAUAGAUAUCUGCAACUUCCUUUUCAAAAACACCAUCGGCAUUGCUUUCUCAGGAAGCCACUGCCAGCCUAUUGUGAUAGCUGACACUGAGUUCCUGAAAAUUCUCUAAUUAGGAUCCCAGACUGGAGGGUCAGCCAGUGGUUAACAUAUAAUGGACACAAAACUGAUUUUACUGGAAGACUGAGGGUGGGCACUCACUAUGGUUCUAAGCAUUACUCAGAAGAUCCAUAAAAACAUUACAGUUCUGUUGUGUAAGAGUUUAGGAAAAAAAGAAAAUCCUGACAAAAAUCCCAACCUAAAAAACAGUGUCAACAUUUGUAAGUAGGAUGGGGAGGCAGAGAUGAAUUGGCGGCGUUAUCACAGCUACUGGACUAUGUGGACUUUAACAAAGUAAGAAACGGGUGGGGGUUGGGUGGUGGUAUCCUAAUAGAGCAGGAGUAGAGAUGGAUGUGCUGGGGCAGAAUGGGUACCAAUGCUGCCUGAAGCCUGGAGCUGGGAGCUGAGGACUAAGAGGUAGACAGGAGGGUGGGGACCCGUACCUGCUCCAAGGAACUGGUGCCCCAGAACUGGUGAACUGGGGUAUGCAUUUAGCUCAUUCGUUUACCAGAAUGCAGUCACCACCUGAUGAAAGAAAUGACUAAUGGCAGGACUUGAACAGUUCUCUAUAAAUGAGUACCUGGGAGAAAAACAGGUCUCCAGGCUCCACAAUACCCAACAAACACACUGCCUUUAGCCCAUUUCAAGCUGCACUUCUUACACGGAACCCAACCCAACCAACCUCAGAGGUAAGGGUGAGAGCAGGCAAUGAACAGCUAUGAUUCUCCAUUCCCUGGCCAGGCAGGGAGCCUUUCCAUCCACCCUCGUGAGACUGCUUGUAACAGAAAUAAGGAAACCAACUCCAAGGCUCAGUAACCCACCCAAGGUCAGAACCACUGAGUGGCAGGGCCUGUGAGCCACAAAGGAGACUGAAAACCAGAAAGAGCUUCUCUCUGGUCUGUUAUUUUAAGAAAAACAUGCCCAGAGGGGCCACCUGGAAGCAAGGCUGUGGCACCCUCACCUUCCUAAUUAAACAACAACUUCCCAGGAGCAACAACAGCAACAAAAGCCUGGCCCAGCAGAUGAACUGGAAUCCAAGCCUUUCCCCUAUACGGGUCAGUUUCGGCACUAACACCUACUUAGUUUGGGUACUACUUUACCUGCUGUGAAGUCUACUGGGAUCUUCCAGGAAAGUCCUACCUCAUUAGUAAAAAGAAAAACAAAGACUCAGGAAGAAAGUUCCUGCCCUCCCUGUUGAAUGCUGUGUGAGGAUAAGAUGUCUGGAGCAUGGCAGUCACCCUGUGACUAUCAGAAGGCCAGGCGUACCACAAGGUGGUCAUUCCAGUGCUCUGAAUCAGCCCCAAACCACUUCCCUCAAGACUCAUGUUCUGAGGUGAUUAAAAGUGUGCUUUGAAGGUAAAUCUAGGAUGACAGUCAACAGAUCAGUGAUUGCCAGGAGUCAGGGGUAGAGGGAGGGAAGAACAGAUGGAGCACAGAGAAUUUUUAGGGCAGUGAAAAUGUUCUGUAUGAUACUAUAUAUAAUGGAUACAUGCCAUUAUACACUUGUCCAAACGCACAGAAUGUACACCACCAAGAGUGAACCCUAAUGUAAACUAUGGACUUUGGGUGAUCAUGAUGUGUCAAUGCAGGUUCGUCAAUUGCAACACACGUACCAUUCUAGUGGAGGGUGUUGAUAACAGGAGGCUAUGCAUGUGUGGGACCAGGGGAUAUAGGGGAAAUCUCUGUACAUGCCUCUCAAUUUUGCUGAGAAUCUGAAACUGCUCUUAAUAAAGUCUUACAAAAAUAAAGAAGUCUGCUUUGCCUUAAGUUGGGUCUUCAGUUACCU